UUGCUUAAACUGUCUUCAAAUUGACAGGACCAGUACACAGUGUUCACUUCUCCCUACUCCCUGAGCACGUGACAUCUGUUGAAGUUUACUUCAAUCCCAGAUCUGUGCUACGCCACAGUCUGCAGCGAGUUCACACACAGACGAAACUUACUGAGUAUGAAGUGUGACAUCAUAAAUAGCCUACAUAACGUACAAGUUCAAUUAACGUCUCGCGCACUUUAAUGCCCUUUGAAUGGAACAUAUACGAUCCAUUGGAACUGGAAUCAUACGAAUAGAAACAUGCAAAAUGUCUAGAGCGGUGGUAGCCUACAAGAGGACUGGAAUUGAAAACUGUUUUAGGGUUUAAUAUGAUUUUAAUGCGCGGAAAUGUUAGCAUACACACAAGAUGUAAAAUCAAAAGGACAUUAUUAUGAAAAUUGCGAAAGCAGUUUUCUGUCCAAGCUAAUUUAGUUGAUUUUAUCUAUUAUUGCUGUAUUCGUUUUUAUUGUUUUUCUGUCAUAUAGCCUGAAGAAAAAUAAAAAAAUUAAAAACGUCAGAUUACGUAACUCAGAUUUGAAAAUAAAAUUCUUGCUGUUAUUUUUCAACUUACUGAAUGUGCAAGUCAGUAGAAGAGCGCUGCUGUAAAACUCUGCUUAUCACGGAUCCUCCGUCACCCGCUUCCUGUGGGAAGUUUACAGUCCAAAUAUGGGCUUCGUGACGUCAAGUUCCUCUUCUGAGGGAGCGUGAGUUGCCCCGCCCACUUCAUCUGGAUCGUUGCGCAGAGGCGCGUUCCCGACACUCUCGAGCAACACCUGCUAAACAAGCAAGCAGUUCAAAAAUCCACACACAAUGACAAAUAACACGAACUGAAUCCCACACAGAAGUACACAUACAGAAUAUGCAUUUUCUAUCGUAUUAUAAUAGUCAACAAUAAUUAGUUUAAACGCUGGUCUACUAAACCAGGUGAAUAGGUUAUUAAUCGUUUGGAUAUUUAGACUCGAAACUCAGGUUCAGCAGUCAAAUUAGACUAGAGGCUUUUUAAAUGUAAUAAUAACGAAGCCUAUAUACUGAUGCUGCAUAAUUAUACCUGUAAAGUGAGCCAUGAAUGAUUACUCAAUUCUUAAGUAUGUAGAUAAGGCUGACAUGGAUACGAGCCAGUAAAGAUAAUGUAAGCUGAUCCUGCGUGUGAGAGAGAUCUGCCUGAGGCCGGAUCACAUUUACGGGUGCCAGUGACAUCAUCUUUAGAGCACUGCUGUACUGUGUCUCUGUUCAUCAGAUGAUGUCACCACUGGUGUCAGGGCCAAUCAGGGGUCAGCGAGCGCAGACAAUCACAGGUCUCCCCUCAGACUC